UGAGUAUUCCAGAUUGCAUAGC
rnacentral:miRNA from 1 species